CAUGUAGGCGGUCCUUUAAGUCUGGAGUGAAAAUGCGGGGCUCAACCCCGUAUGGCUUUGGAUACUGGGGGACUUGAGUGCAGGAGAGGAAAGGGGAAUUCCCAGUGUAGCGGUGAAAUGCGUAGAUAUUGGGAGGAACACCAGUGGCGAAGGCGCCUUUCUGGACUGUGUCUGACGCUGAGAUGCGAAAGCCAGGGUAGCGAACGG
rnacentral:rRNA from 1 species